GAGGAAUGCCCGCUGCAAGGAGGAAGUGCUUUGUGAUAAAUCUUCAGUGCUAGAGGCUGGGCUCUUCCAAGAAGAGGUGGGAGUAUCUUGGAAGUUCCGAAGGUCAAAGGCAACCAGAGCAGCCCAGUUGGGCAGUCCAGGGAAGCCCUGCGAGGGAGGUGGAGCCCUUCCCAGAGCACCCAGGUAAUCCUGACAGACACUCGCUGCCUCCAGGACCUAAGGAGGAGGGCGGGAAGCUCUCCCAUAUCCUCGAGCGAGGAAAGCCCUCGCGUGUCUAGUGCGGGCUCCCACUGGGUGAGGGGCAGCUGGAGGAACUGAGGCACUCACUUGGGGGAGGGCUAGGGAGGGAAGACGCUCAGGCAGCACAGCCCUGGGAGUGUCAGGAGCAGGUCUGGGGGGCCCUGGAGAGCCGCAGCCGGAGGCACUGCACCCAUGAACCCUAGUCUUCACUCAAGCGGCCCAGAGUAGCCCCUGACGUUCUCU
rnacentral:lncRNA from 1 species